AAGCUGGACGGGAUCAGACUGCUAAUGACUGCGCUUCACGCCGUCUGCAGCAGCUCGCGCAGCACUCGGUUCUUUCCCGCCUGUAAAGUCUCAGCUCAGUGGGGUUCUCCCCGGCCCGCGCUGUCGGGGCCCCCCUCCCUCCCCGGGCCCCCUCUCCAGGCCCUCUGUGUGUGUGUGUGUGUGUGUGUGUGUGUGUGUGUGUGUGUGUGUGUGUGUGUGUGUGUGUGUGUGUGUGUGUGUGUGUGUGUGUGUGUGUGUGAGAGAGAGGGUGCGCUCAGAGUGAGCUCAUGGGACAAAAAGUAAUAAUCCUGUCCUCUCUCUUUGGUUAGUUAGCGUAACGCUCCAAAGUUCACAUGGGCUCUGGAUUGAGCCAGGCGUCUGAUUGGUUGACUGAGCUCUGCUGACCAGCGACCAGACGGAUCUAUAGCAGCGAGCUGCGAGAUAGAUGGGCUCCAGGCGCCCUGUGUAGCCGAGCUGAUUAAAUUUCCUGAUCAGACCCCUGUGGCCUGGACUGGAGCAUGUCUCUCACACAAACACAAACACACACACACACACACACACCAAGUCCUGUGUCUGCAUUUGAACUGACAGCUGCCUUAUUACUCCUUUUCAUGACUCAGCAUUGGGCGAGGCAUCUGUCUUACCCGCCCUGCCCUCCUUCGCUCUAUUUUCAAUUUAAUUUAGCUCCGUUUCAGGCGUUGAGCUCAGACUUUCUGCGAUAGUCUGACUCCACCGUAAUGUAUCGCAGGAUAUCGCGUCCUGUUUCAGGCAUCAACAGACAAAGGACGGCAGACAAACGGCACAAAGAUGACAUUUCUCUAUCAAAAGAUUAAAUAUUUUUCAGUUUAUUUUUCUGAUGACAAUAUUGCUAUUGAUUAUUGUUGUUGUUGUUAUUGUUCUCAUUGGGUUAUUUACCUCUCCACCCGGCAUUAUUAUUAUUCCAUGGCCCUGUUAGCUGUUGCUUUUUAUGUUGUGUUACAUCACUUGGGAUGAUGUUGAAUCCCCCCAAACCUCCAUUCCCUCUUUCAACCCUUCAUGCCCCCCCCCCCCCCCCCCCAAACUAGACAUUUUCGUGUCUUUAGUUUUUUCAAAUGUAAUUUAACUAAAAUGUGUAAUAUCAAUUUUUGAUGCAGACGGAGAAAUAACACCGGGGACUAAGAGGAAAAUGCAGCGGCGAAGGAUUUUAGUGGCAGAGAGGAGGAGUGAUUUUAUCUCUUUUGUCGUGUAUUGUAAUUUUUAUUUUACAAUGUUACCUUUUUCUCUCUUUGCUUCUGUACAUUUAUUUUUUUGGGCGGGGGGGGGGGGGUUAUGUCAUCUAAAAGGGAGGAAAAAAAAGAUUUGUAUUGUUUCACUGCAAAGGUCUAUCUUCUCCCUCCUUCACGCUCAUCUUCGUCUCGUCUCCGCCGAGCCGUUACGUAACACUCAGAUGGAGACAUGAGAGUUAAUACCAUGAUGUAACAUUGACUUUUCUCCACUUCUUUUGUGUUUUUUUUUUUUUUCAAACUUGUAAUUAAGCUGUAAUCAGGGUUAAUUAAAACCAGUUGAAACCCAA
ensembl:lncRNA